UGCAAGGACAAAUGAGAAACAUUCAGAGGCUGCUGCAGCAUAUAUAGAGGCACAACAAGUUAAAGCAAAGGAGCAGCAACAACAACAGUUGCAAAUGCAGCAGUUGCAACUGAUGCGUCAAGCUCAAUUCCAACGGGGAGGUCCUAAUAAUCCAUCUCUUGGCGGUCCAGUAAAUGCUAUUGGUUCUGAAGGAAUGCUUGGUCAAUCCACUGCUAGUGCAAUGGCGGCAAAAAUUUAUGAGGAACGUAUGAAACACUCUAAUCCAAUGGAUUCAGAAACAUCUCAGCCACUCCUUGAUGCUAGGAUGCCUCUACUAAAACAAGCAACGAAUCAUCCUGGCCAGUUGGUCCAAGGGAAUUCUGGGAGCAUUACAGCAGCAUUGCAGCAAAUCCAGGCACGAACUCAACAGACUACUGACAUCAAAAGUGAAGUGAACUUGGGUACUGCUCAAAGAUCUUUGCCUAUGGAUCCUUCUUCAAUUUAUGGGCCGGGAAUCAUGCAGUCAAAACCUGGAAUGGUAAAUACAGCUUUGAACCCUGGUGUUGGCAGUCUUCCAUUAAAGGGGUGGCCCCUAACAGGGAUUGACCAAAUUAGACCAAGUUUGGGUGCACAAGUUCAAAGGCCUCUUUUGCACGGUGCAAGUCAGUUUCAGCUUUUGCCACAACAACAGCAACAACUCUUGGCACAGGUUCAAGCACAAGGCAAUCUUGCUAAUUCACCAAUAUAUGGAGAUAUGGAUCCAAGAAAGUUUAGGGGAUUUCCUAGAGGCAAUUUGCAAGCCAAAGAUGGCCAACCAAAUGCAAAUGAUGGAUCUAUUGGUUCUCCAAUGCAAUCAACUUCAUCUAAGAUGAACAUGCCACCGAUGCAACAGUCGUCCUCUCAACAGCAAGAUCCUCUACAAUCGCAGCAAGUACAGGUUGUAUCCUAAACUGACAUAAUGACAUUAAACAUUUUUUUUUUUGGAGAAAUUCCAAGUUACCUUAAGUUCACUUGCUUAUGCCUUAUUGUUUCACAUAUCUAUGAAAUUCUACAUUAAAUACUAGUGCAAUGAAUUCUCCUUUCAGUUCUUUAAUAAAUUGGAAAAUUAAUAACUACUGCAUGUCUGUUUAUGGUGUAACAGAAUAAUCGAAAAAGGAAAGGUCCUUCAUCUUCUGGACCUGCUAAUAGUGCUGGCACAGGAAACACUGUAGGCCCUUCUCCUAAUUCUCAACCAUCAACACCAUCAACUCAUACUCCUGGUGAUGGAAUUUCCUCAGCAGGCAACUUGCAGCAUGUCAGUAGCAUGUCGAAAGGCAUGAUCAUGUAUGGUGCUGAUGGAACAGGAGCUCUUGCAUCAUCAACAAACCAACUGGAAGACAUUGAACAUUUUGGAGAUGUUGGGUCCUUAGAUGAUAACGUUGAAUCUUUUCUCUCACAUGAUGAUGGAGAUGGAAGGGAUUUGUUUAGCACAUUGAAAAAGAAUCCUUCUGAACAUGCAACAGAGGCUUCCAAGGGUUUCUCAUUCAGCGAAGUUGGUUCCAUUCGUAAAAGCAAUGGCAAAGUUGUUUGCUGUCAUUUCUCCACAGAUGGGAAGUCAUUGGCCAGUGCUGGGCAUGACAAGAAGU
rnacentral:misc_RNA from 1 species